AGGGCUGGCCGCUCCUGCGUCGCUGCGGCGGAGCUGAAUGGCAGACUGGUUGGUAAAAGCCCCAAGGUUUUGGACAGCUCUUUGGACGGACUCCUGUUAUCAGGAGGGAUCUGCAAAGUUGGGGCUUUCACGUAGCUGUGUGGCUUAAUUAUAGCUGUGUGUUGGCUUGGAGUGUAAAUGGUGUCAACAGGGCAGAUGGGGUAAACUGAGGGUGGCAAAGUGUUGAGCAAGCUCUAUCAGUUGCAUCAGCAGACAAUUUAAGAUAUUGCUGGUUUAUGAACUGAGGCUCUGAUUGACUGUUAGGGGUGAAAUUACAGAGUGAAAUCAGAAAAUAAGGUAUUGCUGAUAUUGGACUUUCAAUCUAUUUGGAAUAAGUGAGGCUGCAGUGUCUGGUGGAUAUUGGAGAUUACUGGGAGUGUUUUGCAGUUUCUUUCAGAAUUCCAGGCCUGAGUCCACCGUAGUUACCAAGCACUAAGUAAAAUACUGAAUAUUUAUCACUCGAUCUUCAUGGGAUC